UUUCACCGGAGCUUGCUCCACCGGAAAAAGAGGAGUGGCGAACGGGUGAGUAACACGUGGGUAACCUGCCCAUCAGAAGGGGAUAACACUUGGAAACAGGUGCUAAUACCGUAUAACAAUCGAAACCGCAUGGUUUUGAUUUGAAAGGCGCUUUCGGGUGUCGCUGAUGGAUGGACCCGCGGUGCAUUAGCUAGUUGGUGAGGUAACGGCUCACCAAGGCGACGAUGCAUAGCCGACCUGAGAGGGUGAUCGGCCACAUUGGGACUGAGACACGGCCCAAACUCCUACGGGAGGCAGCAGUAGGGAAUCUUCGGCAAUGGACGAAAGUCUGACCGAGCAACGCCGCGUGAGUGAAGAAGGUUUUCGGAUCGUAAAACUCUGUUGUUAGAGAAGAACAAGGAUGAGAGUAACUGUUCAUCCCUUGACGGUAUCUAACCAGAAAGCCACGGCUAACUACGUGCCAGCAGCCGCGGUAAUACGUAGGUGGCAAGCGUUGUCCGGAUUUAUUGGGCGUAAAGCGAGCGCAGGCGGUUUCUUAAGUCUGAUGUGAAAGCCCCCGGCUCAACCGGGGAGGGUCAUUGGAAACUGGGAGACUUGAGUGCAGAAGAGGAGAGUGGAAUUCCAUGGGU
rnacentral:rRNA from 1 species